GUCCACUUGGUCUAGUGGUAUGAUUCCUCGUUCGGGAUGGGAUAGCCCUAACGCUAGUCGAGGAGGUCGCGAGUUCGAUUCUCGCAGUGGACC
rnacentral:tRNA from 1 species